UACGUAGGGGGCAAGCGUUGUCCGGAUUUAUUGGGCGUAAAGAGCGUGUAGGCGGCUUGGUAGGUCCGCUGUGAAAACUCGAGGCUCAACCUCGAGAUGUCGGCGGAAACCACUUGGCUAGAGUCCGGAAGAGGAGAGUGGAAUUCCUGGUGUAGCGGUGAAAUGCGCAGAUAUCAGGAAGAACACCUAUGGCAAAGGCAGCUCUCUGGGACGGUACUGACGCUGAGACGCGAAAGCUAGGGGAGCAAACAGG
rnacentral:rRNA from 1 species